UGAGAGGCCAGCAGCAUUCAGUAGCAGUCUUGUUGCAGAGACACAGGAGACCAGAAGUUUCUCUGGCCCUUGUACAAUGAGCACAGAGUCAGCUUCUGCUGGAACUGUUGUUGAUGGGUUAGGUCUUCACAGAGAAUUUCCUGGAAGAGAAUACUCACUGUUUUCUUCUUCCUGCCCAUGGACUUUAGAUACCAGCUUGAAGAAUAACUUGAGUGAGAUGCAGCAGGAGUUGGAAGAAAUAACUUCAGGACUAGAAGUAGAUGCUGCUGGAUACAGUCCUCUAGAAGAGUUUCUCCUCUAGGAUACAUUAAUGAGUCAAGUCUAAAUGAAUAUAUUCUUUGGAAGGCAUCUCAACAAUAUAUGCCAAUUUUUUUUUAAAUUAUAUGAUGUGAAAGACUUUUAAUUGGAUCUUGCCAAUGAAAGCCAAUUUUAUAUCCUCAAACUGUCAAAGUAUUUAGAUCCUGUGUGUUUUGACAAGUGUAUCACAGAAGUGGUCCUGUGGAUCUUCUCUUUGCAUCCUAACAUGGGAUCUACAUCUGAUUUGUCUUAUUCCUGAUGAUGUUAGCAUUGACCGCUAAUGGUGGUAUCUGCUGUGUUUGAGAUUUGACUUGCUGAAUGAGCCAAGCAUAGUACCUGAAAUAAAUCUAACUCAGUCAGGUGAUACUGGCUUUAUAAAACUAUUUGGCAUCCACAGCUCAUGAGAAUUAUUCACAAAUAUCCCCUCUUGCCCCUGGGUUUUGUGAUUGGGACCUGAGUGUACUGGAUCUGACAUGUGGGCCCAUCCUCUGGGCCCUGGAGAUCAAUCCCUGAACAUAGCAGGGAGAAGCAUACUGUUCCCAAGUCCCUCCUGGGAUGCUCAAGCUGGAUCAAUGUCCCUCCACUUCGGGCUGUGUCCCACUCUGCUGAAGUCACCAGCAACAGUACCAGGAAUGGCCAGCAGGCAGUGCACUCACAGUCCAAGCACCUCUUUUUUCUGCUACAGGACCUCCAGAGAAAAGGACCCACUGCACUCAUGUGGCUCCUGCAGUCUGGGCCAGAGUUGAGAAAUGUCUGUGUUGGGAUGAGGAAGAUGGAACCAGAAUGUUUGGGGCACCCUGGUGAAGACAAAGGCAGCAGUCUCAUUGUAGGUGGGGCAGCGUAGAGGUUCAGUUGUCUGCUGGGCCCUGCUGACAACAGAAGUAUGUGAAAUGGAAGUGCUGAUUAGCCUGGACUCUACUAUCUUGUCAGUGUGUUGAUUCUGGCUUGCAGUGGUGGCUCAGCUUCCUACUUGUCUCCAGUGACUCCAGGGCAGGGGAUGGAGAACAGCUUCCUACUUUGUCUGUUGCUACCACUCCAAAGUGAAAAUCAUAAUGCCUACUUUUGCCAGAUGGGAAAUAGAAGAUGAGCUCCUUUGUUGGUGCCAGUAAUACCAGCAGGCAAGAACAUCAAAGCAUGGCUGCUUCUGUUCAGUGGAUAUGAAGUAGAUAAUCUGCUCCCCGAUGGACUCCACUGGAACCAUCCUGGUAUUUCAUUGCAGUUGGUGGUCCUGAUUGGAGGCUUCCGCAGCACUCUCUCCAGAGCAUAUGGGAAGAAAUUGAAGACCCAAGGAACUCAUCAUUGUGUUAUUCCCCACACCACAGGAUUUUUGCGCUUUCAAUGUGGUGAAGUUGAACACUAUAAGUGAGAGAUUGAAGAAAGCACAAGAAAGGCACAAGCAGCAUCUGAAGAAUACAGAGAACUUCACUUAGAAGUCAGAUGGAACUCAGAAUGAAAGAUCUUGAAUCUGAAGUCUCCAACAGGAAAACUUCUUGAGAAGUCUUUCAUUAUAUUGAAUUGGGAAAAUACAGGCACCUCUAUCAAUUAGACUUGGAAGCUAGAAAAUACUUGUCAAACAAAAUUAAAAAUCUUCACAGAACUACUGAGAGACUAGCAGCAUUCAGUAGCAAUCUUUUUGUGGAGACAGGAGACCAGAACUUUCUUUACCACUCAUGGACAGUCCUAUAGUCACCUCCUGGUGGCAAUCUUAAUAAUGGUUUAGGUCUUCACAGAGAAUUUACUUCAAAAGAAUACUCAACGUUCUCUUUUUCCUGCCCAUGGACUUCACAUACCGGCAUGAAGAACAACUUGAGUGAGAUGCUGCUGGAUAUUCUCCUGUGGAAGAGCUUCUUCUCUAGAUUCACUGAUGAGUCAAAUCUAAAUGAAGACAUUCUUUAGAAAGCAUCAUGGAAAUAUGUGCCAAUUUUUUUUUAAAAAAAAUAUACAAUGUGAAAGACUUUUAAGUAGGUCUUGCAAAUGAAAGCCAGUUUUACAUCCUCAGACUGCCAAAAUGUUAGCUGUUUAUAAUUUUAAUUUUAAGCACUGAUUUAUAUGACUCUUUCUUCUUGGAGAAAUAAAAUUUGCCUAAGGCU